GAAUAAUUGAUUACAUGACAGUGUAGCGAGCUGUGACUAUGUUUUACAUAUUAUAAAUAAUCAUUCCAGUAAAUCCCUCCAGUAGUUCUAAAUAUACAGAAGAAACACGAUAUGCUGAAGGAGGCCUACGACGCAUCUAUUGCGCGUGACCUCGAAACGUAUAUAGAUGACAACGACCAGAUAAGCAAGGGACAUCCGGCGUGUGCAGCGCGUGGCUGACCACGGUAUGACCUUAUAUGGUAAAGUAGUGGGAUAAUAGGCAGGGAUAUGAUCCAAGUAUAGCCAUUAUAAAAACGUCUCACGAAUAGGCUUCGGUAGACGGACCAACAACACCGAGCUAGCCGGACUAACACCACCGAGCUAGACGGACCAGCAACACCGAGCUAGACGAACUAGACGGAUCAACACCAACGACAAGCUAGGAGCUAGGAUAUUAAAGUCACAUCUCGCUAGUCUUCAUUAUUUAA